rnacentral:rRNA from 1 species
GUGUCAGCAGCCGCGGUAAGACGGGGGGUCCUAGCGUUGUUCGGAAUCAUUGGGCGUAAAGCGUGUGCAGGUGGUUUAAAAAGUUAGAUGUGAAAUCCUUGGGCUUAACCCAAGACGUGCAUUUAAAACUGUUAAACUUGAAUAUGGAAGAGGGUCGUGGAAUUCCAGGUGUAGUGGUGAAAUACGUAGAUAUCUGGAGGAACACCGGUGGCGAAGGCGGCGACCUGGUCCAAUAUUGACACUCAUACACGAAAGCGUGGGGAUCAAACAGGAUUAGAUACCCUGGUAGUCCACGCCGUAAACGAUGGAUACUUGGUGUUGAAGGUAUUGACCCCUUCAGUACCGUAGCUAACGCGUUAAGUAUCCCGCCUGGGGAGUACGGUCGCAAGAUUAAA